AAAAUGACUCUCGGCAACGGAUAUCUCGGCUCUCGCAUCGAUGAAGAACGUAGCGAAAUGCGAUACUUGGUGUGAAUUGCAGAAUCCCGUGAACCAUCGAGUCUUUGAACGCAAGUUGCGCCCGAAGCCGUCAGGCUGAGGGCACGUCUGCCUGGGCGUCACGCA
rnacentral:rRNA from 1 species